rnacentral:rRNA from 1 species
UACGUAGGGUGCGAGCGUUAAUCGGAAUUACUGGGCGUAAAGCGUGCGCAGGCGGUUCGCUGUGUCCUGUGUGAAAGCCCCGGGCUUAACCUGGGAAUGGCAUGGGAAACUGUCGGGCUGGAGUGUGGCAGAGGGGGGUGGAAUUCCGCGUGUAGCAGUGAAAUGCGUAGAGAUGCGGAGGAACACCGAUGGCGAAGGCAGCCCCCUGGGCUAACACUGACGCUCAGGCACGAAAGCGUGGGGAGCAAACAGG